CCUACGGGUGGCAGCAGUGAGGAAUAUUGGUCAAUGGACGCAAGUCUGAACCAGCCAAGUAGCGUGCAGGAUGACGGCCCUCCGGGUUGUAAACUGCUUUUAGUUGGGAAUAAAUGGGGGCUCGUGAGCCCCGUAUUUUAUGUACAAUCAGAAAAAGGACCGCCUAAUUCCGUGCCAGCAGCGCAGUUAAGACGGAAGGUCCGGGCGUUAUCCGGUUUAAUUGGGUUUAAAGGGAGCGUAGGCCGGCUUUUAAGUCAGCUGUGAAAGUCCGCGGCUCAACCGUGGAAUUGCAGUUGAAACUGGAGGCCUUGAGUGCACACAGGGAUGCCGGAAUUCAUGGUGUAGCGGUGAAAUGCUUAGAUAUCAUGAAGAACUCCGAUCGCGAAGGCAAGUGUCCGGGGUGCAACUGACGCUGAGGCUCGAAAGUGCGGGUAUCAAACAGGAUUAGAUACCCCAGUAGUC
rnacentral:rRNA from 1 species